GACCGUGAGAUCAUGAUGUGAGCUGAAAGCAGAUGUUUAACGAACUGAGUCACCCAGGUGGACUCAAAAUUCAAUAGCAAGUGUCCUUGCAAGAAAGAAAGAAGAAAAUAUAGAAAAGAAGAGAGCCAUGUAAAGGUAGAGGGAGAUACUGGAGCAAUAGAGCCAAAAGAAAUGCCAGAAUAGAGCCACCAGGAGCUGGAAGAGGAGAAAUGCAAUAAAGUCUUUACUGUAUGUGGACAAUUUAUCCAAGGAGAGGAUUCAUACAGGUAAUAAAUCAUAGGAAUAUAAAGAAUGUGGGAAGGUCUUUAGACCUGAUUGAGUUCUUCUUUCACAUCAGAGAAUUCAUACUGCUGAUACAUUCUGUGAAUGUAAGGAAUGGGGAAAGCCUUUACUAUGUAUAGAUAAGUUACUCAAC